AUUCAGUAACAAUUUCCUUCUCUUCGAAGUUUUCCUCUUCUCUCUAUAUGCUUUCUCUCUCUGAAAACACCACUGCAGAAGCUUCAUCUUCUGCAUGUUUACAAGGUAUUUUCGCUAGUUGAGGAUUCACUUCUUCGAUCCUGCGAUCUGUUCUGCUUCCGCGCCCUCUCUCUGACGAUUGUGAGAGGUCUUAGAGCAAGUCCAGUGCGUGCUGGAGCCCGAGGGACAAUCGCGGGAACAGAGCCAGACAGCCCAAGCAAUCAAGCCCAUCGUGUGCCAGCCCGAGGGAGAGGCCUGGCACGAGUUGCCAACCUGAAGGCAACGUUUUAUUGCCAGAAAAUAGCCUGCAAGGGCUAGGUUUCUUCGCCGGAUUCUGGAAUGGGGAAAAACAGUAUGCAUGCAUGUCAAACCUUAGUAAUUUCCAACUAAUUUUCACAUGCAAAGAGGCAUUUAAGUACCUGGAAUGGAUUCAAACUGAGUAAGAGCUCCAAACCCACAAAUUUGUCGGAGUUUACUCUGAGGAGGUGACCAAAAACUGGGCAAGCUUUCAGAGAAAUUGCAGGGGGUUAAACCUAUGGUUUCAAACUGGAAAAACACCACAAAUCUUGUCCCAAGCAACAUUAGUUAAGACAUAAUGAAACAAGAUUUGCAUAGAGAACCUCACAUGGGUUCGAGUUUCAAAUCUUAAAGCUCUCGGCUUCAAUGGUGGUUUACACCGUGAUGGUCCAAUGACGCAUGCAAUUGUAUAGUUAGGAUCCUUUAGUCCCAAAGAAUAAGGUUUCAUGAUUUUGAAGUUUGAUUUGUUUAGAGAGAGAGAGAGAGAGAUAGGAAUUUUAGAAAAAUGGAGAGAAGUGAGAAAGAUGAGUGGAAAGAGAGAUAGUGACGUGAGUGAGUGGAGAGUGCACAGGAAAUUCCAAGCAAGUUGCAAAAAGUAUUAUUAUUUUAUUUACCUAUUGUCAGUGCUAUACAAGUAUAGGAAUUGAGAUGCAAAAGACAAUUACUGUUCAUUAAGGGCAAUUAUUGUCCACUAGGUGGAUUAAAUAUUGGAUAGCCCUAGGGGCCUUUCCCA